CCUACGGGUGGCAGCAGUAGGGAAUUUUGCGCAAUGGGCGAAAGCCUGACGCAGCAACGCCGCGUGAUCGAGACGCCCUUCGCGGUGUAUAGAUCUGUCAGUUGGGACGAAACUUGACGGUACCCACAGAGGAAGCACCGGAUAAAUCCGUGCCAGCAGCGGCGGUAAUACGGGGGGUGCAAGCGUUGUCCGGAAUCAUUGGGCGUAAAGCGUUCGUCGGGGGCACGAAAAGUCUGGUGGUAAAGGCAGAGGCUCAACGUCUGUACGGCACUGGAUACUUGCGAGCUAGAAUGCGGUAGAGGUAAACGGAAUGCCUGGUGUAGCGGUGAAAUGCUUAGAGAUCAGGAAGAACAUCGAUGGCGUAGGCAGUUUACUGGGCCGUAAUUGACGCUGAGGAACGAAAGCCAGGGUAGCAAAUGGGAUUAGAUACCCCAGUAGUC
rnacentral:rRNA from 1 species